UACGGGGGGGGGCAAGCGUUUGUUCGGAAUUACUGGGCGUAAAGGGCUCGUAGGCGGCCAACUAAGUCAGACGUGAAAUCCCUCGGCUUAACCGGGGAACUGCGUCUGAUACUGGAUGGCUUGAGAUUGGGAGAGGGAUGCGGAAUUCCAGGUGUAGCGGUGAAAUGCGUAGAUAUCUGGAGGAACACCGGUGGCGAAGGCGGCAUCCUGGACCAACACUGACGCUGAGUGAGCGAAAGCCAGGGGAGCAAACGGG
rnacentral:rRNA from 1 species